rnacentral:lncRNA from 1 species
AUGGCAGAGAUGACGAAUUUUGACAAAGAGAUUUAUUUAUAGACUAAUACACUUGAAACAAAUAGCCAAACCGAAAACUGCAGACAUUAUCAGUGCCUCCCCGCAAUCAAACCGAUAUAAAAAAUAAAAUGAAUCAUCACACCUGCCAUUUUCCGGUGAGAGAGAAUUGGCCCUGUAUUUACCAUAAAAUGUAGCUCAUCUACCAUGACAGAAGAGAAAGAUCCAGACUGUUGAUUGGGAAACAAGAACAAACAACAACGCAUGAGGUUUGGGUGUUGAGGGACCACUUGUCACAUUGUCCAAGUCCAACAGGACUGCUUCACACAGGCCACCCGGUGCAUGGACAUCCUGUGCCAGUGUGAUCCGAGCGCACGCGUACAGUUGUAAAGACUACAGCGAAUCGAGCCUGUGAACGGACAGGUCAGUUACUCAUCAAAUAUGAUACAAUAUUGUGUAAAACAUUGAAUUUGUAGAUGAAUCGACAUUUUGACUUUAUUACCCCUUUUCCCGACGUUUUAGACAUGAGGUGUGACAUGCGGAACAUCAGGCUCACCCCACUAGAAGCAGUGCAUGAUCAACGCCACCCUCAGCAAGGAGAUGUGCUGGAAGUGAUGUACUCUCUCACUCUGGGUUUUUGGACCAUUGGCUACCCGGAAAACAGGUACUGA